GACGAACGCUGGCGGCGUGCUUAACACAUGCAAGUCGAACGAAGAGCGAUGGAAGCUUGCUUCUAUCAAUCUUAGUGGCGAACGGGUGAGUAACGCGUAAUCAACCUGCCCUUCAGAGGGGGACAACAGUUGGAAACGACUGCUAAUACCGCAUACGAUCUAACCUCGGCAUCGAGGAAAGAUGAAAGGUGGCCUCUAUGUAUAAGCUAUCACUGAAGGAGGGGAUUGCGUCUGAUUAGCUAGUUGGAGGGGUAACGGCCCACCAAGGCGAUGAUCAGUAGCCGGUCUGAGAGGAUGAACGGCCACAUUGGGACUGAGACACGGCCCAGACUCCUACGGGAGGCAGCAGUGGGGAAUCUUCCGCAAGGGACGAAAGUCUGACGGAGCAACGCCGCGUGAGUGAUGACGGCCGUCGGGUUGUAAAGCUCUGUUAAUCGGGACGAAAGGCCUUCUUGCGAAUAGUGAGAAGGAUUGACGGUACCGGAAUAGAAAGCCACGGCUAACUACGUG
rnacentral:rRNA from 1 species